rnacentral:rRNA from 1 species
GGAAUAUUCGGCAAUGGGGGGCAACCCUGACCGAGCAACGCCGCGUGGAGGAUGACGGUUUUCGGAUUGUAAACUCCUUUUCUCAGGGAAGAGCGAGGACGGUACCUGAGGAAUAAGUCACGGCUAACUACGUGCCAGCAGCCGCGGUAAUACGUAGGUGGCAAGCGUUAUCCGGAAUUACUGGGCGUAAAGCGCACGCAGGUGGCUGCUUAAGUCUGACGUGAAAGCUCCUGGCUUAACUGGGAGAGGUCGUUGGAGACUGGGCGGCUUGAGGCGAGGAGAGGGGUGUAGAAUUCCCGGUGUAGUGGUGGAAUGCGUAGAGAUCGGGAGGAAUACCAGUGGCGAAAGCGGCACCCUGGCCUUGGCCUGACGCUCAGGUGCGAAAGCGUGGGGAGCGAACGGGAUUAGAUACCCCGGUAGUCCACGCGGUAAACGAUGAUACUAGGUGUAGGUGGUCUCAAAACUAUCUGUACCGCAGCUAACGCGAU